UUUCUCUGUUUUUGUUAGCUCUCAAAGUCGUUCAAGCAUAUAAUUUUCUUCUUUUAUUUUUUCUAUGCUUUUCCCGGACCAUGCGUCUCGGGAACUUUGUGCACUGGACCGUAAAUGCAAAAGAGUCUUCUAAAGGUUACCUUUUGGUAUCCCAUAAAUUAAACAAUGUUGAAAGCCAAGGAUCUGUGUUAGAAAUGAAGGAGAACACAAUGGUCCAAGUGUUGGAUUGAGGCCCUUGGAAGCCCAACAUUGGGAGAGAAUAUAGGCUGAGUGUGGUGGUACAGUGAGACGUGUUUUGUGAUCUCUUUUAACACCGUAUAGUAACUGUCAUGUCUGCUUGCUGCUGUUUAGACAGAAACUCACCCUUCUUUUGUUAGCCAAUUUAAAACCCCAUCCUUCUUAGUAACACCAUUCAGCAAGGUAUAGAAGGAGGCAGUCUCAUCCGUCGAUUGUUGCCUAUGUUUUGAUAUGUCUCUAUUUUCCUUUAUGCUUAGAGCUUCUCAACAUAUUUUUCCAAUUCACCACGACCUUUCCGAUGGUCUGCAAGCAACCCACUCUAAAAAUAAUGUCAAUUCCACUUAAGUAUUAUUACACAAAGGCUUCAAUGUUUACCUCUACCUCACCAAACAGAAUCACCGUUUUUUUUAGCGUUUUCCAUUGGUUGUGACUCUAUGAUCAUCUCCUUCUUUCUUCUAAUAGAUCAAUGUCUAGUAGAUAUAUCUUCUUCAUCUUUCCAACUUUCCCACAUAUACUUUCCUUAUAUUGGGCUUCCUAGGGCCCAAAUCCAACACUUUUUCCUUUGUGUUCUCCACCUGGCCCCUAUUCUGACCCUCCAUUUCUAACAUUCUAAUGACUACAUUGUAUUGAUGUAGAUGAAUGUGCUCUGCUCUAUUACAGAAGGAAGCUGGCGGUGGCAGUUCUUACCAUGCAAAUAUCAAAGAUGAAAUUCUGAUAAAAUUCCGAAGUUUUAAGCAAUUUGAUAUUGCCAUUAAUGAUGCUUCAAAUUACAAUGAACUUAUUUCCUGAACAGCAUCCAGAGAAUUGGGCUAAAGAAAUCAAGAAAGAAUGGAAGAUUUUGGAGAAGGAUUUGCCGGGAUGGAUCUCUUGAGGGCUGUAAUUAUUGGAGCAGAUGGAACUCCUUAUCAAUGACGGUCUUUACUUUCCUAGUAGUUAUCCCAUUUUUCCUCCGGUUUGUUCUUGAGGAUACUCUAUUUGAAUGACUCCAUACAAGGUUUAGUCUUGACAGAAAACCCAGGUCUAAUCUUGGCAGAAACCCCUUUUUUGGAACAACCUGUUGUAUGGAAAUCUACACCGUUGGAAAAAAGUUUGUCCCAGAAACAUAAUAAGGAUUAUUUCACCAAAUCAUUGCUGUUAACGGAACAAAUAAUAAGAAGGCCUCCAAAGAAUUUCAAAGAUUUUGUUGUGGGGCAUUUCAUCAGCCGUGUUCAUGAAAUUAUGGUGGCAGGCAAUGCAUACAUUGAAGGUGCUCAAGUGGGAUGUUUGGUCAAAGGUGGGGUUCAAGAUCUUGACGAUGGUGACAAAAGCAGCUCGAGGCAGUUUAACAAUUCUUUAGCAAGACAUAUCAAUGUGGCUGCGCCAAAUUUUACAGGAAUCGGAUCUAUGUUGGUUCAAGCACCGGACCAAAACAUCAGAGUGUUAUAAUAGUUUAUUGGCUGAACGUUUGCAAGCGCUUGUCAAAGAGUUUAUAAGAUUUGGAGCUAAGGAGUGUGAGAAAUUCCUUUAUGGUGCAACAGGAAACGUGAACAAAAGAACAUUUAUGAAUCAUUAGCUUCUCUUUGAGCAACAACAAAACCUACCUAAGGUUCUACAACAAAAGGGUUCUGAAGCAGAUGAUGAUAAACCCUUCUCAAUAAGACGAUAUGUUCUUGCUUCUCGUCACAAAAGUAUCUUUCAUAGCUGGCCAUUUCCUGAGAAAUAUCUGCAAAUAUGUCUGAACCAUGGUCUCAAAGAUAUUUUGCCACCAUUUGAAUCACUCAAAGGUUGUUCCAAAUUGUUGCAACAUUCACGAAAUGAUCAUGAUACUAAAAACUUAGCUGAGUUUUGCAAAACUAAAUCAGUUCAACAACAUGUCAUUAAGCAGAACCAACACAAUAUUAAAAAUGAGUGUGAUUUGUUGUCACAUGGAGGAGAAGGAUCAUACAAAUUAGUCACUAAGGAAUCUUCUUCAAAACACGUAUCUAACUGCAGUGAUUAUGUCAAAUUGUCUGGAUCGGCUGAUCAUAUGUUCAACCUUCCAAGUUCAUCAAUUCAUGGUCGCAAAAGGCUUCCAUCAUUGGUAUCAUCCAAGGCAACGAAGGAUAAAUGCAGAAAGCGUAAAGGGAGAUGUAAGAAACGAUCAAUGGUGGAUAUUUUAGCUGUAGCAAGGCAUUGUACUUUAGAGGAGAUUUGCAGGAUCAACAAGUUUUGUUAUACUACUGAAACUGUGACUGAAGCAUAUCAGCAUCAAGAUAUUUCUAAAUCUGGUGCAAGAGGUGAGGAUUUAGUUAGAAAAGGUCAUGAAGCAGCUAUUACUGAUAUUAAAGGAAAAGGGAGAUUGUUGGUCAAGUUCAAGCUCAAUACAUGUAAUGUAAAUCGGAAUAUAAAUUGAUUUCCUUCAAAAAGUUAUUUGAAAGUUUAGGCAUAUUAAGUUUAACACCGUUCAAAGUUUUUGACCCAUGAGAUACAAAAGAAUAGAGCCUUGAAUGAUUUUCUCCA